AAUAUUUGACAAUGGGGGCAACCCUGAUCCAGCCAUGCCGCGUGUGUGAAGAAGGUCUUCGGAUUGUAAAGCACUGUAAGUUGGGAGGAAGGGCUUUAGGUUAAUACCCUGAAGUUUUGACGUUACCAACAGAAUAAGCACCGGCUAACCUUGUGCCAGCAGCCCCGGUAAUACAGAGGGUGCAAGCGUUAAUCGGAAUUACUGGGCUUAAAACGCGCGUAGGUGGUUCAGUAAGAUGGGUGUGAAAUCCCCGGGCUUAACCUGGGAACUGCUUUCAUAACUGCUGAGCUAGAGUACGGUAGAGGGUAGUGGAAUUUCCUGUGUAGCGGUGAAAUGCGUAGAUAUCGGAAGGAACACCAGUGGCGAAGGCGACUACCUGGACUGAUACUGACACUGAGGUGCGAAAGCGUGGGGAGCAAAC
rnacentral:rRNA from 1 species